rnacentral:rRNA from 1 species
AACCUGGUUGAUCCUGCCAGUAGUCAUAUGCUUGUCUCAAAGAUUAAGCCAUGCAUGUCUAAGUAUAACCUUUAUACGGUGAAACUGCAGACGGCUCAUUACAACAGUGAUAAACUAAAGAACUUCCGCGCUUCGGCGUCUUGGAUAACCGCAGUAAAUCGGGGCUAAUACAUAUAAACGAGAGGGUGAGCGGGCAACUGCGAACCUUUGCGAUUGUUAGCUAUCUUUUUCACCAACCUCUUCGGAGUUUGUGGUGAAUCCGAACAAUAUUGCUGAUCGAAAAUUUAUUUUCGACGAGUUCUUUGUGUCACUGCCCUAUCAACUUUCGAUGGUAAGGUAUUGGCUUACCAUGGUUGUAACGGGUGACGGGGAAUCAGGGUUCGAUUCCGGAGAGGGAGCCUGAGAAAUGGCUACCACUUCUACGGAAGGCAGCAGGCGCGCAAAUUACUCAAUCCCAAUACGGGGAAGUAGUGACAAAAAAUACUAAUGCCUUUCCAUAUUAUGGGGGGCAAUUGGAAUAAGUACAACUUAAAUCGCUUAGCAAAAGUGAUUGGAGGGCAAGUCUGGUGCCAGCAGCCGCGGUAAUUCCAGCUCCAAUAGCGUAUACUAAAUUUGUUGCAGUUAAAAAGCUCGUAGUUGAGAUUGAGAUUUCUUGGGUUUAAGCCAGUCAUAGUAGCUUUCGGGUUAUUAUGAUUUCGGUUAAAGCUUUUGAGUGGAUUUUAUUUUUCACUUUUAAAGUUACCAAGGGAUUUCCAACUGCCCAUGUAAGCUGGCAACAGUUUACAAUCGGGUGAUCUACUGUGAGAAAAUUGUAGUGUUCAAAGCAGGCGUCUUACGUUUGUUCAAUGCAGCAUGGUAUAGUAAAAUAUGACACUAAAUAUAUGUUGGUUGUAUAUUCUUAGUGUAAUGACUAAUAGGGAAGGGCGGGGCCGUUCAUAUUGAUGGGCGAGAGGUGAAAUUCGUUGACCCUAUCAAGAUGCACUACAGCGAAAGCAUUCGGCAAGUACUUCUCCAUUAAUCAAGAACGAAAGUUUGGGGAUCGAAGACGAUCAGAUACCGUCGUAGUCCAAACCAUAAACUAUGUCGACCAGGGAUUGGACGGAUAAUUUUUUAAAAACUCGCUCAGAACCUUGUGAGAAAUCAUGAGUGUUUGGACUCUGGGGGGAGUAUGGUCGCAAGUCUGAAACUUAAAGGAAUUGACGGAAGGGCACACAAUGGAGUGGAACCUGCGGCUUAAUUUGACUCAACUCGGGAAAACUUACCAAGCUCAGAUAUAAUAAGGAUUGACAGACUAAAAGAUCUUUCAUGAUUGUAUAAGUGGUGGUGCAUGGUCGUUCUUAGUUGGUGGAGUGAUUUGUCUGGUCAAUUCCGAUAACGGACGAGACCUCUACCUGCUAACUAGUGGUAUUUAUUUGGUCAAUAUGGAAGAUAGUCAUUUGGUGUUGGUGUCAGGGUCAAACUUGGCAUUCUUCAUUGAGUGGUGUGUAUUCUGGUCAGAUAGGUACUAACUAAAAAAAUAAACUUCUUAGAGGGACUACCUACCUCAAGUGGGGGGAAGUCGGAGGCAAUAACAGGUCUGUGAUGCCCUUAGAUACCUUGGGCUGCACGCGCGUUACAAUGUAGAUGAGAAAAAGGUUUCCGACAUCGAAAGGUGCCGGUAAUCAAUUGAAUUGUCUACGUAAUGGGGAUUAAUUUUUGUAAUUAUCGAUUAUCAACGAGGAAUUCCUUGUAAGCGUAAAUCAUUACUUUACGCUGAAUAUGUCCCUGCCCUUUGUACACACCGCCCGUCGCUCCUACCGAUCGAACGAUUAGGUAAAACUGACGGAUUAGAUGAUUUCCUCGCAAGGGGUUAUCGUUUGAGAAGUUAGUUAAAUCUCAUUGUUUAGAGGAAGGAGAAGUCGUAACAAGGUAUCCGUAGGUGAACCUGCAGAAGGAUCAA